CAGCUUUGAAGGCACUGGCGCUAAACCCACCAGACUCCAUUUAAUAAAGCAAUACUUUCAGCGUCUAUAGAGCCAACGUAUUUUCACAUGUAAAUCGGUAAACUAUGUGUUUAUUUCAACCAAAACUAGAGUUGUGAUGGUUGGAAAAGUGAAAAGACGACCCAAAACAGCUUUUCAUA